rnacentral:rRNA from 1 species
ACGCUCGACACCUACGGGGGGCAGCAGUGGGGAAUAUUGCACAAUGGGGGAAACCGUUGAUGCAGCGACGCCGCGUGGGUGAAGAAGUAUUUCGGUAUGUAAAGCUCUAUCAGCAGGGAAGAGAAUGACGGUACCUGACUAAGAAGCCCCGGCUAACUACGUGCUAGCAGCCGCGGUAAUCUGAGCGGGCUGGCAAGGC